rnacentral:rRNA from 1 species
GUAGUACUAGGAUGGGUGACCUCCUGGGACGUCCUCGUGUUGCACCCCU